GCCUCCGUAGCAUAGUGGUA
rnacentral:siRNA from 1 species